ensembl:lncRNA
UUCUCUCAGACAUGUCUGCAGUAAUUUAUCAAAUUAUGAUAUAAUAAAUUGUGAUUAUAAAUCAAGAUGCUUGAUUUGCAUAAUUCCUUGGUGCUAAAACAUCUACUCUCUCAAUGUGAACUCUGUUUGCAAAGUCUGAAAACAAAAAAACAAAACAUAUUCACAGAAUCAAUUUACUUUCUUCACAGGUCACCACUGAGAUCAGCUGAUGGAGCAAAAUGGCUUCUUUAAGCUGGAGAAACCAGGAGAGUUCACCAACAUUGUGGAUAUCCAGUUCUUGGUGGCUAUGAUCCAUCCUGGAGGGGGAUGAAAUUACAUCCACCAGAGACUGAAGAGACAGUUUUCUAUUUUCAACUGUACUCUUCCUUCCAAUGUCUCCAUAGACAAGAUCUUUGGGAAUGCUCAGCGUGAGUGCAGAGGUCAUCAGCUCAUCAGAUGUAUUACUGCGGCUGUGGAAGCAUGGAUGUAAACGAGUGAUUGCUGACCGGUUUACUGCCCCAGAGGAUGUGUCCUGGUUUGACUACACGCUGGUCAAGCUAGUGGAAGAAGGGCUUGGAGAAGAAGAAUGAAUGAUUCCUCGGCUCAUCAGAGCACCUUGGGGAAAUGCCCUACUGUUCAGUGUAGGGGGAUCUGGAAAACAGAGUCUGACAAGACUAGCAUCUUUCAUCGCUGGCUAAAAGACUUUCCAGAUUACACUCACCCGUUCCUACAACACCCUCAACCUGAUGGAGGACCUUGAAGGGAUUGUACAGGACUGCUGCACAACAGGGCAAAGGCAUCAGCUUUAUUUUCACUGACAACGAGAUCAAGGAUGAAUCCUUCCUGGAGUACAUGAACACGUCCUUUCAUCAGGAGAGGUCAGACAACCAUUCUGACAUCAUGCUUAUAGAAGCACCCACAAGCCCCACAGCAUCCAUUCUGAGCCGUUUCAUGAUGUUUUUAUAACACACGCUAAAAUAGCCAAGCUACAUGUGUUCCCAAGGUUACAACAUAUGCCCCCUUAAUAAUUCAACCGUUAUUUCACUACAAAUAAGUCAAAUUUCCUGAGGCACCAUAAUGAAAAUAAACAAA